CCUACGGGAGGCAGCAGUGGGGAAUCUUGCGCAAUGGGCGAAAGCCUGACGCAGCAACGCCGCGUGCGGGAAGAAGGCUUUCGGGCUGUAAACCGCUUUCAGCAGGAACGAAAAUGACGGUACCUGCAGAAGAAGGAGCGGCCAACUAUGUGCCAGCAGCCGCGGUGAUACAUAGGCUUCAAGCGUUGUCCGGAUUUAUUGGGCGUAAAGAGUUCGUAGGCGGUCGAGUAAGUCGGGUGUGAAAAUUCUGGGCUCAACCCAGAGACGCCACCCGAUACUGCUUAACUUGAGUUCGAUAGGGGAGUGGGGAAUUCCUAGUGUAGCGGUGAAAUGCGCAGAUAUUAGGAGGAACACCGGUGGCGAAGGCGCCACUCUGGAUCGAUACUGACGCUGAGGAACGAAAGCAUGGGUAGCAAACAGGAUUAGAUACCCUGGUAGUCCAUGCCGUAAACGGUGGGCACUAGGUGUGGGAUUCUAUUAACGAAUUCCGCGCCGUCGCUAACGCAUUAAGUGCCCCGCCUGGGGGAGGUACGGUCGCGAGACGUAAACGUUAAAGUAAGUUAGUAACGGUCGUGAGACGUGCCGAACGGACGACGACGAGGGAGGAGG
rnacentral:rRNA from 1 species